GCUGAACCAGCCAUCCCGCGUGCAGGAUGACGGCCCUAUGGGUUGUAAACUGCUUUUGUACCUGAAGAAACCUGGUUACGAGUAACCAGUUGCCGGUAAGGUAUGAAUAAGCAUCGGCUAACUCCGUGCCAGCAGCCGCGGUAAUACGGAGGAUGCAAGCGUUAUCCGGAUUCAUUGGGUUUAAAGGGUGCGCAGGUGGGAAAAUAAGUCAGUGGUGAAAUACUGCCGCUUAACGGUAGAAUUGCCAUUGAUACUGUUUUUCUUGAGUAUGGUUGAGGUAGGUGGAAUGUGUUGUGUAGCGGUGAAAUGCAUAGAUAUGACACAGAACGCCGAUUGCGAAGGCAGCUUACUAAGCCAUUACUGACGCUGAGGCACGAAAGCGUGGGGAUCAAACAGGAUUAGAUACCCUGGUAGUCCACGCCGUAAACGAUGAUCACUCGCUGUUUGCGAUAUACAGCAAGCGGCUGAGCGAAAGCAUUAAGUGAUCCACCUG
rnacentral:rRNA from 1 species